CGGUGGAUCACUCGGCUCGUGUGUCGAUGAAGAGCGCAGCCAACUGUGUGAAUUCAUGUGAAUCGCAGACUGCUUUAAACAUCGACAUCUUGAACGCACAUUGCGACUACAGGCUUGCCUGUAGCCGCGUCUGACCGAGGGUCGGCU
rnacentral:rRNA from 1 species